UGCUGCUAUAUAACUGAAAACAUGUUUCUACUUACUAGGCAACUAUUCUGUUUCUCUUUCAUAAAAUACAGCCGGGGUUGAAUUGGUGGACGAUUUGGAGAGAAGGAAAUUGACCAGCGGUUACAAGACAAGGAGGAGAAACUUCCGGUGGUUCUUAUUCCUCGGUGUCCUCCCUCCCAGAGCCUGUUGUACCUUUUCUUGAUCUUAACACAGUUUUUCUUGGGAGAAUUUUUUGAGUUAGCUUCCAUGUACAGCCUUGUUUAGUUGAUUAUCAGGCUCAGGCUCAGGCGUAGGCGUAGUCGUGCUUGUUAUUCUGUCAUUAUUUGUUUAAAAUUUUAUAUCGAAAAGAUAAUGCUCAAAUGUAAAGAUGUAAAAUGAUUAAUUAAUUCGGGCUCAAUUCGUACUCAUUCGAUUAAAAGUUCGAUUCGAGCUCGACUCGAAAUAUAAAUGAGUCAAAUAU
rnacentral:lncRNA from 1 species